GUGCCAGUACACAGUGUUUACUGUUGUCAACAGCAUGUAACUAAGGCGCUUAGGAGGUGGAGGCAGAAGAUUCAGGAAUUCAAGGGAAUCUGAUGCCCUCUUUUGGCCUCCAAGGGCUCCUGAAAAACACACCCAGCACUCAGACAUGCAGGAGCAUGUGCUAUAUAUGUCAGGCACUGUACUAGAAACAAAUGGCACACAGCACGGAACAAAGUCUCCCCAGGGCUAACGCUGUGGCAGUGGCACCUUCUUGGAAGGGAUUAGAGGCCUGUGUCACUGAGCCACCUGAGGAGUAUUUCCAAAGCAAGUGUCAUGGCAAGCAUCAAACGUCUAUUGGCUGUCACUUCAUGGUGAUCUCUAAUAGAGCCCGGAUCUGUUCAUGCUUGUACCUUCUCAACAUCUCUAGCAGGACCUGACUCAAAAUGUGUGCUGAGUG